GACGAACGCUGGCGGCGUGCCUAAUACAUGCAAGUUGAGCGCUGAAGGUUGGUACUUGUACCAACUGGAUGAGCAGCGAACGGGUGAGUAACGCGUGGGGAAUCUGCCUUUGAGCGGGGGACAACAUUUGGAAACGAAUGCUAAUACCGCAUAAAAACUUUAAACACAAGUUUUAAGUUUGAAAGAUGCAAUUGCAUCACUCAAAGAUGAUCCCGCGUUGUAUUAGCUAGUUGGUGAGGUAAAGGCUCACCAAGGCGAUGAUACAUAGCCGACCUGAGAGGGUGAUCGGCCACAUUGGGACUGAGACACGGCCCAAACUCCUACGGGAGGCAGCAGUAGGGAAACUUCGGCAAUGGACGAAAGUCUGACCGAGCAACGCCGCGGGAGGGAAGAAGGUUUUCGGAUCGUAAAACUCUGUUGGUAGAGAAGAACGUUGGUGAGAGUGGAAAGCUCAUCAAGUGACGGUAACUACCCAGAAAGGGACGGCUAACUACGUG
rnacentral:rRNA from 1 species